GACUAACGUUGGCGGCGUGCAUAACACAUGCAAGUCGAGCGGGGUCCAUCCAGUGGCAACACUGGUGAAGACCUAGCGGCGAACGGGUGCGUAACACGUGAGCAACCUGCCCCGAAGUCUGGGAUAACACCGGGAAACCGGUGCUAAUACCGGAUGUCCCCACCGGACCGCAUGGCCUGGUGAGGAAAGAUUUAUCGCUUCGGGAGGGACUCGCGGGCUAUCAGCUUGUUGGUGGGGAACGGCCUACCAAGGCAUCGACGGCUAGCUGGUCUGAGAGGACGACCAGCCACACUGGGACUGAGACACGGCCCAGACACCUACGGGUGGCAGCAGUCGAGAAUUUUGACAAUGGGGGAAACCCUGAUCGAGCGACGCCGCGUGGAGGAUGAAGGUCUUCGGGUUGUAAACUCCUGUCAUUUGAGAAACAAGGUGCACCGGUUAACUGCCGGUGCAUUGAUAGUAUCAGAAGAGGAAGAGACGGCUAACUCUGUGCCAGCCGCCGCC
rnacentral:rRNA from 1 species